GCCUCAGCCUCCCAAAGUGCUGGGAUUACAGGUGUGAGUCACUGUGCCCGCCUGAUGGAAAGGAUCUUUGCUGAUGUAAUUCAUUACGUGAAUUCAUUCCUUAACUUCAGUUAAGGGUCAUGAAAUGAGUUCAUCCUGGAUUAGCCAGGUGGGGUACAUCCAAUGACGUGUGUCCUUACAAGAGAUAGAAGAGGAAAAGACACAGACGCAUGAAGAGGAGGAGGCUACAUGACCACAAAGGCAGAUAUUGGAGUGAUGCAGCUAAGGAAGCCAAGGAACAGAAGUUGGAAGAGGCAAGGAAGGGAUCUGCCCACAACCUCCAGAGGGAGACAACCUAGGUUUUUGUUGUCGUUGUUGUUGUUGUUGUUGUUGUUGUACCACUGUGUUAUUGAAAACCUAGAUUUUGGACUUCUGGCUGAUAGAGAAUAAAUGUCUCUAUGGUAAGAGAAUAAAUGUAUGUUGUUUUAAAAACAAAA